UACGGGGGGGGCAAGCGUUGUUCGGAAUUACUGGGCGUAAAGGGCUCGUAGGCGGCCAACUAAGUCAGACGUGAAAUCCCUCGGCUUAACCGGGGAACUGCAUCUGAUACUGGAUGGCUUGAGAUUGGGAGAGGGAUGCGGAAUUCCAGGUGUAGCGGUGAAAUUCGUAGAUAUUCGGAAGAACACCAGUGGCGAAGGCGGCUCACUGGCCCGGUACUGACGCUGAGGUGCGAAAGCGUGGGGAGCAAACAGG
rnacentral:rRNA from 1 species